rnacentral:lncRNA from 1 species
AAAAUACUGCAAGUAGAAUAAGGCGGGAAUUCUCCCUCUCUCUAAAUUCCAUACGUAACUGCAACCAGGCCUAAUUGCCAUGGGGAUCGAUCCCUCUUUCAGUAUAUUAACAGUACGAAUUCCACUCCCAAUAUACACAUAUUCAUACACACAAUCACUGAAAUUUAAAGCUCUAACAGAAAAAUGGAAAACUCUAAUGGUGAUGUGAAGGCCCAUAUAUCUGCUGUUAUAUUUGAUUUGGAUGGAACCCUAUUAAGCACAGGUGUGUAAUUUCACUUCUUUUUCUUGAUUUCUGCAAAACUGGUGGUUUGGAUGCAUAAUUAUGCGAUUGAAUGUUUUGCAGAGCAAGUGACAAGGGAUAUUCUGAAGGAUUUCUUAGCAAAAUAUGGUAAGAUGCAGGAGAAGGAGAAGGAGAAGAAGAGAUUGGGUAUGGUCAACAAAGAAGCGGCAAUUGCCAUUGUCAAUGAUUAUGAACUUCCGCUCACGCCUGAACAGUUUACCCUAGAAAUCAUGCCCAUGUACCAUGGUUUGUAAGUACAAAUACUUCUGUCUCCACUUAAGAACGCUGAAUACGUAUACAUUUUAUAAUAAGAGGAUAUUGCAUUAAUUGUUCGAAGUUGUAAAUUUUCUUUAUGUAAAAUCAAUUUUUAUGAAUCGAUUAUUACGAGGACGAAAAUUAAAAUUAAGCAGUAAAAAAUUCGUUUGUGGUUUGUAAUAAUGUGAUAGAUGAGUUUAGACACUAGAGUCGACUUCAAAUUCCGGUUUUCCAUCUGACAAAUCAUUCCCUGCUGUCGAAAAAACAUGUAGACUCUUUUAUAUGGUUGGAGAGGUACUGAGUCUUGAAACUGUACUUGGGUGUUGCGUCAAAAUGCUAAUAAUAGAAUCAUUCACCACAGAAAAAAUGAAUGUGGAGAUUUUAUACACGUUUUUCUUAAAAGUUUUUAACAGAAUAAAUAUUUUACGUUUACUGUACACUUGAGGGAGGUGGGAUGAAAAAGGGCUAAGGGGAAUCGAUAUGUUAGCUUCAAGAAUGAGGUCUGUGUGAUUUGUGCUCUUAAGCUGGAUUUUCAAAAGAUGGGACGACAUAUCCUUUUUUUUCCCCAAGUUUAAUCUUUGCUAGUCAUCCGUUGUUUUGUCAUGCUAUUUUUUCUGAAAAUGCUGACAACUUAAGGCAUUUAACGCUAGUGUAAUGAAGUUAUCUACAUAUAUACUACAUAAAUUUUGACGAGCAUGAGUUUCUUGAACUAUAUUUUCGCUUUUAUCAUUUUGGAUAAUUUUUAUGUAAUUCUUAUUCUUUGUCAUGUUUUGAACUAUAUUUUCUCUUUUAUCAUUUUGGAUAAUUUUUUUUGUAAUUCUUAUUCUUUGUCAUGUUUCCUUAUAGAUGGCAACAAGCCAAAGCACUUCCGGGUGUUAAUCGUCUUAUGAAACAUCUUCGUAAGCAUGGAGUGCCGUUUGCCCUUGCUUCAAACUCUAUAACGAAAAAUAUUGAUGUUAAAAUUUCUCACCAUGAAGGUUGUGAUGUUCUUUAUCACUUUCUUACUAUAUUGGCCGAAAUCAUCCAUUCUUUGCAUCAUGAUUCUUUUAUGAUCAUCAUGUAGAAGUUCCAUCAUUAUUGCUUCAUUUGAUUAUUCAUGAACCCUUUUUUCGUAGUCAGUUCUCUGCUUUCUACAUUUUCCAGUAUGUAUAGUUUACUAAAUAGUCUGGCUACUGGUAAUAAUUUCACAACUACAACCACUGGCUUUUGUUUUCUAAGACUUAAUUAACGCGACUACUUUCCAAGACUGUUCUUGAAUAUUGACUCUUGAUUAUUUUUGUAACAUUGCUCUGUUCAGGUUUACCUUUCUCCUUUUAUCUUUCUUAAUUUCCAGCACACUAAAUUCAAAUUUCUCAUGCAUCAUGUUGUGUUUGAAUGGCCUCAUAAUUACAAAAUUUCUUGUUAAGCGUAGUCCUUCUUGCUUGCAAAAUAUGCAUAGUGCAUCUCAAGUCACACCUUCUCUCAGCGUCAUAUUCAAGUUCCCCCCCUUUUGUGUUCAUAGGUUGGAAAGAAAACUUCACAACAAUUCUUGGAAGUGACCAAGUCAAGUCAGGGAAACCCUCCCCAGAUAUGUAAGAUAAUGAUUAUUUUUUCCUCUUCACUAUGCCUUGGAGCUUUUACUUGGUCCUCCACGAAAUGUAAUAAUAGCAUUUUAUUUUCCUUCUGUUCAAAUUAUUUUCAUUAUUUAAAGAAUCUUGCUGUAUAAGGCUUCGUAUUCAUAUAGUGGAUGGUAUUAAUUUUACAGAAUAAACAGUCAGAAGCUUUUCAGUGAAUAUUGUACAUGGGAAAACAUUCUUUGUUUCUAUAUCUGGUAUAUUAGGAUUUUUCCUUUCUGAGUCUUUUUCCAAUUAAAAACUAUCCAUCAGGUUUUUGGAAGCUGCAAACAGAAUGAACGUAGAUCCAGCCCAUUGCCUAGUGAUAGAAGAUUCCUUGUAAGUCGCCAUUAUUAUAAGUCUUUGUUUGUUUGAUUUAUUUGUUUUUUUGUCAAAGUUAUCAGCAUAAUUUAUUAUAGCAAUUCGUUGUUAAUCAUCUAAAUCAUAUAAUUUAUCUUUCUUUGACUGCAAACAACCAUGCCUAUAUAUUUUGAGGUAACUAGAGGUAGUUUGAACCAACAAAAAGGAUGCAAGUGAACUGACCCUGGCACAGUGUCAUACAAAAGUAAACACAGAAUUCUUCCAGCAAUAUUAGGCUCAUGCUAUUUAGUGAACCUCUUUGUAAACUGAUUGAUGGAGAACUUCUUUACACAAUUGUCUUUUCAUGUUUACAGUCUCAUUGACCUUAAAUUUAGUCACACUACAAGAGACGUUGAAAUUUCAAAAUUUUCCUAAUCAUGCUUUAUUUUCUUUUCCUGUCACAAGAGUAAUUGAUUUAGAAGCGUUGUUUAGUUGAUAAGAAGAAUGCUUUUGAAUUAGUUAACCUGCUAUGCUAUCAUCUACGAUCAAGUUUAGUACAAGACCACAUUAGCUUUUCAUUCCUCAAAGAGAAACAUUAUGAAUGUUAUUGAGUUAUGAGUAAACUUUUAUUGUAUUUGAAGUGUAGCCCAGUCUAUAUUAGCAAUCAGCUGAAACUCUGAGUUCCCACUUCUUUUUGUGUGUGUGUGUGUGUGUGUGAGCGCCCACACUCAAAUCUUAUCUGAAAAACAUAUAUUUAUUUACAAAGUUAUUUUCAUCGACAUGAUUGCAUGUUUUAACCUUGGUCCCUGCUAUAUAUUCUGAGAUUCUUCUUGCUUCUGCACCUGUUAAUGUGCACAUUUCCUUGCGCAAGAGUUGAAUGGCAAUCUUCCACGUUUGCUAAUGCUGGGGUUUGGAGCAGGGAGAAAAAAUAUUGUUUUUAUUUUAAACCAUGAUUUAUUGCACUUCUCGUUUCCAACAGCAUUGGUGUCAAAGCAGGAAAGGCUGCUGGAAUGAAGGUUGUGGCUGUGCCAUCACUCCAAGUAGAAGCUCACUUAUAUUCUAUUGCUGAUUCCAUACUUCAUUCGCUUCUAGAGUUUCACCCACAACUAUGGGGUCUUCCACAAUUUGGAGACUGUAUGUUUACUUUGCAAUUUAUCCAAUAUCAUGCUAAUGGUCUUCAUCUCAUUUAAUAUGAAUCGUUGCUCUUAAAUUGAUUAUGCAGGGGUUGAUAAUACUUUGCCAAUUGAACCCAUUCAUAUAACAGGUUUAUUUAGCAACGGGCUUCUCCUGGAAUAUGAAGGUUUCUAGAAUUAUUUUCCUUCUGUCUGUUCUGUUUUGAGUUCUUAUAAGCAUUUGUUUCUUUAAACAUCAUGUCAUGUGUACUAAUACCUACACAUUAUUUUUAUUUGUUGCUGUUGGAAUAUGUUUUACUUGUGCAACAAAUAUCUGAUCUGAUUAAAAGAGUGUAAAUCUAGAUGGUGGAUGGUCUGCUCUUCCUGAUCAAGUUUGGGGACUCUACAUUGGAUGGGCGAAAUUUGACGAACAGAAGGUGUCCAAGGCUAUAAUCAGCCUAGGAUGGAACUUGAAAUGUUGUGAUUCCAGGAGAAAAAUUGUGAGUAUAUCAUUACUAGAACCUAUUUUGUCGAAUAUUUUAGGCUAAUAAGAAUGAUUUGCAUAUUCUUUAUUUAUAAAUUUUAAACAAAAAAUUUCCUUUAUUGUAAUUUUUAAGGCAAGAUUAUUUCAAAAAUUUGAAGAAUCUCCACAAGUAGUACAUACAUGUAUAUUUUGGUAGCCAGUAUAUAAUUUAGUUCCACUUUUUCUUGCAUUUCAAUUUGCUCAAAUAACAUAUACUUUAGAAUCGGCAUUUCCUUCUGGAUGCCCUUUUCUGAUGUUUGCCUGCAUUUGCGAACUUAGACUCCGAUUGCUGGUGAUGUACCAACAUGUUUACCUGAUUAAAAUGUUCUUGUCGGCUUCAAAAAAGAACAUCUCAGUAAAUUUUCAUUAUCUUAUUUAUUUUAUUUUUUUCCAAUCCCAAUGUAACUUUAACUGCUUUAUGCCUCUAGAAAAGGGGUUUCUACUCGUUCAAUGCUGCCUGACAUUCGUUACUGCUAUUUCUUUUAGUUCAAUUUCUUGUCUUAUGACUGACCGCUCCUUUUCAGCAAGCAUGUCCUGUUGAGUUUAGCUAUGAGAGCAUAAAUGACAGUAAGAUGCAGCUACUGCUUGUGGGCUACCUUCGAAGAUCAUGUCAUGUGGUAAAAAAUUAUUUACUCAACACACUGACUUAAUCAAUGAUACUCGUGGUUGCACUGUUAUAACGGGAACAUUAGUUUUCACUCAUCAAAUCAGAUGAGUCAUUUGAAAAUGAUCUCAUAAGUAGAAAGAUUGACACGCAUUGUGUUUAGGUUUAUUCAUCAUAUAAUUUGCUCUCUCUUGAUUUCCUCAUCCUGUCCACCCGUACAAGCACACUGUGCACACACAUCAGACUUGAAUAAAUUAUCUUGUGUUAACCAUGUUGUCAUAAAAAAUGAAAAAAUGAAAAGAAAAGAAGAAGGAAAAAAGGGGAAAAAAAAAAAAAAGGUUAAGAGCUACCGGCUUAUGUAUGUUAUAAUGCCAUUUUAUCUUUGAUGCUAUAUUUUCUUCUUUCUAAAUGCUGUUUGUCACCGACGAAAACUAUAUCUACUUAUUAUACUAGCUUAAAUUCUUACUUGAUUGGCUUUUUUGUGGAAGGAAAUUUGCUAUUUUCUUUUUUUGAUUUAAACUUCCACUCAGCACUAUGUAAUUUCUAUGGACAAUAUACAGGGAAAUAUGCUGGAGAACAUAGAAAUACUCGAAGAAGACAUAUUGGCUGCCCGCACCUCCUUGAAUUUGCCGGCGUUUUCCUACAAUACGUCAAAUGCUUUCUUGCAAGGAGAUGCUGUUAAAGAUAAUUUUGCUGCCUUGAAUGACAAUCACUAAGUAUGUUAUCAUCUGAAUUCUACAGAUGCUCUGAUAGCCAUCUUUUGUAACACAAACUGGAAUUUGUUCCUCGUGGCUAUGUACUUUCUCAUAGUAUAAGAUUGUUUGAAGAUGUAACCUGCUUUGCAAACACAGAAUGUCUUGAAAGGUGAACAUGUAACAAGUUGGUCCUAACUGUUUUUUCUUUUCGUGUGAGUCAAUAAUCCAAGUUUAUAAUGAAUUGAAUUUUAAUGGACGAUUCUCAUCCAAUUGAUUGUUAAAAAGA